AACCUGGGCUGCCUGACUGCACCAGUCAGCUCUCUGCCAGCUUGCAGCACAGGUGAACACCACGCACCUGCAGUGAGCCGGGCAGGUAUAAACAUGACGCACCUGCAUUGAGCAGCAUUUUGACGCAGUCCAGAUGCUCCCGGGCGCAGGCCACGUGCAGAGGGGUCCCAAAGUGGCAGUCGUGCGCUUCCAGGUUGGCCCCAACAUCAAUAAGAAGCCUCACACACUCAGAACUUCCUUAAAAGAAAUGGAGACGGAGGAAAGGCAUCGUAUCACAUAUAUUUGAAAUAACAGGCUUGGCAGACACGCGGCUGCUGGAGCAGGACGUCUGACCCAACUCCAGUGAACGACACAUGAGGGAGAGGCUGCUGACAGCGUUCACAGUUUCGACACACCCCUCGCCCCCGAUGUUGCCUAGAUGCGAGCUGGGAAGUGCCGUGGCCGUCGGACCACCUGCCUAACGUCGGCUCUGAGGAUGGGAAGCACCAGGACAGGACCGCAGCCGCCGACCUCCUGUUCCAGCACAGCGCCUGACACACAGGUAUCAAAUAAAUACUCUCCAGAAGCCUGUUGUACUUGCCGGAAAACUUCUACUGCAGUUGGGUCUGCCCGCGCCAGAGUACACCCCACUACCGGCCCCUUACAGGCCUGCCCAGCCCUGACACUGACCUGGGCCACACGUUGGCCUUGCCCACUCCAGCCGUGCCAGGGGCCAGGGCAUCAAUUAAACAGGAGUUUGUUGUAGCAGAGCCCAGGCUGCAGUCCCCAGAAGACAGAGCACCAGGGCGCUGGUGCUAAAGGGCAGACAGCAGCGCCCAGGUCCCUCCUGCCUCCUGCCCGGGCUUCGGUUCAAGGCCACGGAGAUACCUGUGUCACUCCUUCUGCUGAGUGGCUGCUGGCAAGCCAAGCUCACGAAGGACUAAGUGAAAACCGUCAUCUGCAAAACUAGAGUCUCACCAACACCACCUACAGGAUCUUCUACCGGACAAGUGCAAGGUCACCCCGAGAAGGAAUGACAGACGCUUGAGAACAUUUCUGCCACUCUUCUGCACCCCUGCCUGACCUGACUGAUCCAGCCUGGGCACCAGACGUGCACCUGCUGACUCCCAACCCGACACCCCUGUGUACCUUGGCUGGGCCCUGACACUCUCACAUCUGAGGGCUGGCCCUGCCCGGCCCAGGCCCAGCCUUCGGGAGUCAAGAAACCCCAGCUGAACACUUCAAGUGGUUCAGCGUCAGCCUUCCCUUGGGAGCGGGAUACAUGGUGAGGAGCCUCAGGAACCACUCAGCUCGUGAGUCCAACGCCUGUCUGUCCUUUAGCCCCGUGACCUGGGGCACGUCACUUAUCCUCUCAAAGCCUCAGUUUUCAAUUACACGUCAAUUUUUUUUAAGCCUCAGCUUUCUCUCAUAUAAAAUGGCGAUGUUUUUGCCUACUCCCCUGGGGUGGCUGUAAUGACAGUGAAAUCCUGCUGGGCACGACCGGCACGGUGGCAGGCAAGUGUACGAUGACAGCACACACUAUGACCACAAUGGGAUUGUUAGCAUCAUUCUAUUUCUGCUGGUCCUGCUUGGGUCCCAGCCUCCAGUUCUACUGCCUGUCAUGUUCCAAAGCCCCACCUGGGACUCCGGCUCCAGCAUCUGGAUCCCGCAUGAGUCCCCUGCAUGGAGUCCCAGCCCCUUGGCCCUGGCACCCGCCUUCUCUAUGCGUGUCCAGCAGUGGGUGUUCCAGACCAGCUCCCCUGGCCGACUGUUCAAUAUUCAGCAAGUCCGCCAGGCGGAAACCCCUGGGAGCUGAAAUCAGCGUGAGGGUGAGUAUUUACACCAGGGAAAGCAGAAAAUCAGAUCAGGUUUCCUUUUUUUUUCUUUUUUUUCCUUUUUUCUCCAGAGAGCCAAUUUACCAACAUCCUGCUUAGUCAUCCAGAGCCCAGAAUCCUGCUCUUUGAGCCCAAACCGCAGCUCUCAGCCAGGGCCCCACCGGCCCUCCUCGAGAGCCUGGCCUUGCGACGUGCAGGGCCUGCCGGGCUCCCGUUCCACAUGCAGAGCAGAGCACUCAUCGGCCCUACCCACCUGUCCAGAGUCUAGAACCCGACCCCUGUGCAGACCCUGACCCUGACCGCUCCUCCCUCAGCCAGGGGCCCCUCCACACAGCAGCCCCGCUCAAACAAAGUGUUUUCCAAACGCCACGGAGAACACCUACACCACAAGCGGAUCCAACGUGCUCAGUAUCCA